CGCUCAACCUACCUCCCUCACCCACUCACUAGGGUUACAAUUACAAACUCCGUCUCCUUUCUCCAGCCGCCACCACCCUCUUGCUAUUUACAACAUUCUAUUUUAACAUUCAUUCAUUCCAAAUUCUGUACCAAUAUGUAGCCAAUUGUUUUGCCAUGCUCGUUUUCAGCACAGUACAUACAUAAUGUACUGCCUUUUUCUCUUUGUAUAACAUGCAAUUUUACUCUCUUCCUCACAAUAUCAGAUCUGGUCUAAUCUUGCACUUUCAUAGCAGUUGUUUUUUCUAUAAUUAACAGUGCAAUGGAGGAUGAUAUGUGCGUUAUCCACCGUUUGCUCCAAUGGAUUGCUCAUUCGUGCCAGCUUUGUUAUUAUAUCAACCUGACAUUAUGUGCGCAUACGAUACAAUGUGGAAGCGAUCAGAAAAAAUGAGGCUUAGAUGGUUUAAAAAUGUAGUUUUAAGAUGAUUGACUAUGCAGUUUAGCAAUUCCUUUGUAAUUUUGUAAUGUAAAUGUAAGAUGACUUGUUUUGAUUCCUUUACAAAGUGAAAUAACAUCAACUCUUUGGAUGUAAAUGUAAUUGUUUGAUUUGAACAAUUACAUUGUUCAAAUCAAAUAUGUAAUUUGAUUUGAAAACAUGCGAAGGUUUUUUUUUUCGUAUCCUUUUUGUAACACUUCACAAACACAAAUAUGUAAUUUAAUAACACCAAAAUCAAUUUAAGUCAUCA